CCUACGGGUGGCAGCAGUGGGGAAUUUUCCACAAUGGGCGAAAGCCUGAUGGAGCAACGCCGCGUGUGUGAUGAAGGUCUUCGGAUCGUAAAGCACUUUCGACCGGGACGAAAACCCUCUGGCUAACAUCCAGGGGCUUGACGGUACCGGGAGAAGAAGCACCGGCUAACUCUGUGCCAGCAGCCGCGGUAAUACAGAGGGUGCAAGCGUUGUUCGGAAUUAUUGGGCGUAAAGCGCGUGUAGGCGGCUUGGCAAGUCAGAUGUGAAAGCCCUCGGCUUAACCGAGGAAGUGCGUCUGAAACUGCCGAGCUUGAGUCUCGGAGAGGAUGGCGGAAUUCCGCAAGUAGAGGUGAAAUUCGUAGAUAUGCGGAGGAACACCGGUGGCGAAGGCGGCCAUCUGGACGAGAACUGACGCUGAGACGCGAAAGCGUGGGGAGCAAACAGGAUUAGAUACCCCAGUAGUC
rnacentral:rRNA from 1 species